rnacentral:misc_RNA from 1 species
AAGAGUUAGGGUCUUCUAGGCCCGACCUCCCAACCCUUUGUUUAUUGAACCUCUGUUGCUUCGGCGGGCCCGUCUCACGGCCGCCGGAGGACCGUCGCGAGGCGUCCUCUGGCCAGUGUCCGCCGAUAGCCAACCCCAAAACUCUGAAUAAAUCGUGUCAUAUGUCUAAGUCUAUGAUUAAAUAAAGCA